rnacentral:sRNA from 1 species
CACAGAAUACUGUCGUAUCAGCUCCUCCAAUGGUGACAAUAAAUCUAAGAAGGUUCGUCGAUCCGGAAUUAAGGCCGUCAUCACACUUGCCGAAGGAUAUUUAUGGGAUUUUAAUUUUUGUUACUAUUUUUUAUUGUAUAUGUAUGUAUAUGUCCAUUUAAACCCCAAUAUAUUAACGCACCACAAUUGAGAUUAUCUGGUUGCAGUUUUCCCAUGGUAUUAAGUUUAUUCUUCAAUUACCAUAGGCAGAGUACAGAUAUUAAUUUUUAAUAUUACAAUUCUUUUAAUUACGGCCUUCUAUAAUUUGUUAGUUGUCGAUUUUUAUGAUUUCUUCUGUUUUCAAGCGUUAAAAACAUGUUUCGGUUUUAAUAGUAAUGUACAUACAACAAAACAAUUUUCACUAAUUACAAUAUUUUGAACAUUUAGGAUGAAUUAAUUUGGUCAGUUUUUAUUAUUAAAUAAUAUUUGUUACAUAUCAAAAAGAAGCUAUGUAGACACACGUAAAUCGUUUAUCUUAAACCUUGAUAGCCGUGACAAUUAUUUGAAAAACUGUUCAAACUGAAUCCAUAAAAUAAUAAAAAAAAUAUUUGCUUCGUAAAAAUUAAAUUAA